rnacentral:rRNA from 1 species
AUACGUAGGGGGCGAGCGUUGUCCGGAAUCACUGGGCGUAAAGGGCGUGGAGGCGGCGGUGUAAGUCUGGAGUGAACGUCCUGCAUUCAUUGUGGGAAUUGGUUUGGAUAAUGCAGUGCUAGAGUGCGGAAGAGGUAAAUGGACUUCCCUGUGUAGCGGAGCGACGCGUAGAGAUUGUGAGGAACACCAGUGGCGAAAGCGACUUACUGGGCCGUAACUGACGCUGAGGCGCGAAAGCGUGGGGAGCGAACAGGAUUAGAUACCCUGGUAGGCCACACUGUAAACGAUGGAUACUAGGUGUAGGAGGUAUCGACCCCUUCUGUGCCGCAGUCAACACAAUAAGCAUUCCGCCUGGGGAGUACGGCCCCAAGGUUGAAACUCAAAGGAAUUGACGGGG